rnacentral:rRNA from 1 species
UACGUAGGCAGCAAGCGUUGUUCGGAAUUACUGGGCGUAAAGCGCGUGUAGGCGGGUCUUUAAGUCAGGGGUGAAAUGCCAAGGCUCAACCUUGGAACUGCCUUUGAUACUGGAGAUCUUGAGUCCGGGAGAGGUGAGUGGAAUUGCGAGUGUAGAGGUGAAAUUCGUAGAUAUUCGCAAGAACACCAGUGGCGAAGGCGGCUCACUGGCCCGGAACUGACGCUGAGACGCGAAAGCGUGGGGAGCAAACAGG